rnacentral:sRNA from 1 species
AUGCACCCCGCGGACACGCCGGUUGCUGCGCGCCGCCCACGUUCACCUGACGUCCGCGCGUUUCGUGUUGCCAACC